AGCCAUAGCCAUAUCACCCUGCAGCCCAAGACUGGUUGCCCACUGAAGCUAAGCAGGGUUGAGCCUGGUCAGUACCUGGAUGGGAGACAUCCUGGGAAAACUAGGUUGCUGUUGGAA
rnacentral:rRNA from 1 species